AUGAACGCUGGCGGCGUGCCUAAUACAUGCAAGUCGAGCGAACGGACGAGAAGCUUGCUUCUCUGAUGUUAGCGGCGGACGGGUGAGUAACACGUGGAUAACCUACCUAUAAGACUGGGAUAACUUCGGGAAACCGGAGCUAAUACCGGAUGAUAUUUUGAACCGCAUGGUUCAAAAGUGAAAGACGGUCUUGCUGUCACUUAUAGAUGGAUCCGCGCUGCAUUAGCUAGUUGGUAAGGUAACGGCUUACCAAGGCAACGAUGCAUAGCCGACCUGAGAGGGUGAUCGGCCACACUGGAACUGAGACACGGUCCAGACUCCUACGGGAGGCAGCAGUAGGGAAUCUUCCGCAAUGGGCGAAAGCCUGACGGAGCAACGCCGCGUGAGUGAUGAAGGUCUUCGGAUCGUAAAACUCUGUUAUUAGGGAAGAACAUAUGUGUAAGUAACUGUGCACAUCUUGACGGUACCUAGUCAGAAAGCCACGGCUAACUACGUG
rnacentral:rRNA from 1 species